rnacentral:rRNA from 1 species
CAGCAGCAGCCACGGUAAUACGUAGGUGGCAAGCGUUAUCCGGAAUUAUUGGGCGUAAAGCGCGCGUAGGCGGUUUUUUAAGUCUGAUGUGAAAGCCCACGGCUCAACCGUGGAGGGUCAUUGGAAACUGGAAAACUUGAGUGCAGAAGAGGAAAGUGGAAUUCCAUGUGUAGCGGUGAAAUGCGCAGAGAUAUGGAGGAACACCAGUGGCGAAGGCGACUUUCUGGUCUGUAACUGACGCUGAUGUGCGAAAGCGUGGGGAUCAAACAGGAUUAGAUACCCCGGUAGUCCCUGUCUCUUAUAA